rnacentral:rRNA from 1 species
GAUGAACGCUGGCGGCGUGCCUAAUACAUGCAAGUCGAGCGAACAGACGAGGAGCUUGCUCCUCUGACGUUAGCGGCGGACGGGUGAGUAACACGUGGAUAACCUACCUAUAAGACUGGGAUAACUUCGGGAAACCGGAGCUAAUACCGGAUAACAUUUUGAACCGCAUGGUUCAACAGUGAAAGACGGUCUUGCUGUCACUUAUAGAUGGAUCCGCGCGGCAUUAGCUAGUUGGUAAGGUAACGGCUUACCAAGGCAACGAUGCGUAGCCGACCUGAGAGGGUGAUCGGCCACACUGGAACUGAGACACGGUCCAGACUCCUACGGGAGGCAGCAGUAGGGAAUCUUCCGCAAUGGGCGAAAGCCUGACGGAGCAACGCCGCGUGAGUGAAGAAGGUCUUCGGAUCGUAAAACUCUGUUAUUAGGGAAGAACAAAUGUGUAAGUAACUAUGCACGUCUUGACGGUACCUAAUCAGAAAGCCACGGCUAACUACGUG